rnacentral:rRNA from 1 species
CCUACGGGAGGCAGCAGUAGGGAAUCUUAGACAAUGGGGGCAACCCUGAUCUAGCCAUGCCGCGUGUGUGAUGAAGGCCCUAGGGUCGUAAAGCACUUUCGCCAGAGAUGAUAAUGACAGUAUCUGGUAAAGAAACCCCGGCUAACUCCGUGCCAGCAGCCGCGGUAAUACGGAGGGGGUUAGCGUUGUUCGGAAUUACUGGGCGUAAAGCGCACGUAGGCGGAUUAGUAAGUUAGAGGUGAAAUCCCAGGGCUCAACCCUGGAACUGCCUUUAAUACUGCUAGUCUUGAGUUCGAGAGAGGUAAGUGGAAUUCCGAGUGUAGAGGUGAAAUUCGUAGAUAUUCGGAGGAACACCAGUGGCGAAGGCGGCUUACUGGCUCGAUACUGACGCUGAGGUGCGAAAGUGUGGGGAGCAAACAGGAUUAGAUACCCUGGUAGUCCACACCGUAAACGAUGAAUGCCAGACGUCAGCAAGUAUACUUGUUGGUGUCACACCUAACGGAUUAAGCAUUCCGCCUGGGGAGUACGAUGGCAAGAUU